rnacentral:rRNA from 1 species
GACGAACGCUGGCGGCGUGCUUAACACAUGCAAGUCGAACGGAAAGGCCCUGCUGUUGUGGGGUGCUCGAGUGGCGAACGGGUAAGUAACACGUAAGUAACCUGCCCUUGACUUUGGGAUAACUUCAGGAAACUUGGGCUAAUACCGGAUAGGAGCUCCUGCUGCAGGGUGGGGGAUGGAAAGUUUCAGCGGUUGGGGAUGGACUCGCGGCUUAUCAGCUUGUUGGUGGGGUAGUGGCUUACCAAGGCUUUGACGGGUAGCCGGCCUGGGAGGGUGACCGGCCACAUUGGGACUGAGAUACGGCCCAGACUCCUACGGGAGGCAGCAGUGGGGAAUAUUGCACAAUGGGCGGAAGCCUGAUGCAGCAACGCCGCGUGCGGGAUGACGGCCUUCGGGGUGUAAACCGCUUUCGCCUGUGACGAAGCGUGAGUGACGGUAAUGUGUAAAGAAGCACCGGCUAACUACGUG